rnacentral:lncRNA from 1 species
AAGGAUAUACAGGAUGCAUGCAAACUCUUUGAGCCAAUUUAUGAUGAAACUGAUGGUGGUGAUGGGUAUGUGUCUGUCGAAGUGUCACCCGGACUUGCUGAUGAUACUCAGGGGACUAUAGAAGCUGCAAAGUGGCUUCAUAAAAAGGUUCAGCGCCCUAAUGUUUACAUCAAGAUUCCUGCUACAGCUCCAUGCAUUCCUUCAAUCAAGGAAGUGAUUGCAUCAGGAAUUAGUGUGAAUGUUACGGUAGGUUGAUUUUUUAUCAGGUAUCCGUUGGUAAUAAGAAAUAAUAUGCUAAUGUAACAUGUUUAUUGAGUUUGCAUGAGGUCCUCAUAUAUGGUAAUGUACCGUUUUAAAGUUCUUAUUGGCUUCCAACAAUGGUGGGAAGAACCUGCACUGGCAUCAUUUAGUUUAUCUUGUCCACCUUUGUAGUUAUUAUUACUGAGUGGUGAGAUUCCAUUUUUUGAGCUUGAGGAUUGGUUUGACUUCUGUAAAGCUUGAAGUUACAAUAGGAGGCCAGAGACAGUAUAAUCUAGUUCUGGGAAGUGUACUCCCCUAAGAUGAUCCCUAAUUAAAUUGUUGCCCUAUGAGGAGGCUGAUAGAAAAGAAGCCUGAGUUGAUGGAGAGCCCCUGACCAUAUGAACAUUAUCUUUAAGGAAGAAAAGUGAAGAACUUUUGCUUGUGUUACUUACUAUACUUAGUUGUGCUAAGAAAUUCUUUUGGGUUGUUGACAUUUUUUUUUUUUGGUUUUUGGACAAACAGCUCAUAUUCUCUCUUGCUAGAUAUGAAGGAGUUAUUGAUGCUUACCUGGAUGGCCUAGAGGCCUCUGGACUAUCUGAUCUCUCUCGAGUUACAAGUGUUGCUUCUUUCUUUGUUAGUCGAGUAGACACCCUUGUUGACAAGAUGCUUGAGAAAAUUGGAACUCCUGAAGCUCUUGAUCUCCGUGGGAAGGUAAUUAUAUAGGAACUUCUAGAUUUUGCAAAUUCUUCUGGGUUAUGCUGCAACUUGUGGAAUCUGUGCUAUUGACUAACACCCGUUACAGGCUGCAAAUGCUCAAGCAGCUCUUGCCUACCAGGUCUACCAGAAAAAGUUCUCUGGUCCAAGAUGGGAGGCUUUGGUGAAGAAAGGUGCCAAGAAGCAAAGGCUGCUGUGGGCUUCAACCAGUGUGAAGAAUCCGGCAUACCCUGAUACUUUAUACGUGGC